rnacentral:rRNA from 1 species
GACGAACGCUGGCGGCGUGCUUAACACAUGCAAGUCGAACGGUAAGGCCCCUUCGGGGGUACACGAGUGGCGAACGGGUGAGUAACACGUGAGCAACCUGCCCUUGACUCUGGAAUGACAGUUGGAAACAGCUGCUAAUACUGGAUAUUCAUCGUCUCCUUCCUGGGGGGUGGUGGAAAGCUCCGGCGGUCAGGGAUGGGCUCGCGGCCUAUCAGCUUGUUGGUGAGGUAAUGGCUCACCAAGGCUUCGACGGGUAGCCGGCCUGAGAGGGCGACCGGCCACACUGGGACUGAGAUACGGCCCAGACUCCUACGGGAGGCAGCAGUGGGGAAUAUUGCACAAUGGGCGCAAGCCUGAUGCAGCAACGCCGCGUGCGGGAUGACGGCCUUCGGGUUGUAAACCGCUUUCAGUAGGGACGAAGGGUGACUGACGGUACCUACAGAAGAAGGACCGGCUAACUACGUG